rnacentral:sRNA from 1 species
AUGGCCUAGAAGAGGUGGGUGCAGAGCCUCUGGUGUUUGCCUUCCUAUUCCCCUCUGGGCACCAAGGUACGCUGAGCUGAGACCAGGAUCCGGAACUUCAACCUGUGAAUUUAGAGAUGGGGUUUCACCGUGGUCUUGAUCUUCUGACCUCGUGAUCCGCCCGCCUCAGCCUCCCAGAGUGCUGGGAUUACAGGCGUGAGCCACGGCGCCCGGCCUCCUCUGGGCAAACAUUAAGAACUGCUCUAAGUAGCUACGAGAACGAUGGGAGACAGUUACGUGGUUCACGGAACUAUGAAGGGAGAUCCUGUAAUCGUCAGCAAAGGCUCCUUGGAGCUGGGAAGGAAUGAGAUUUGCACCACUGGAAACCCUACAGUAUUUCCAGGCCAAGAAUAAGGAGGGAGAAGCUGAGCUGAGGGCUACAGACAACACUGUGUACAAACCACAGCAAAUUUAUUACUCAAGAUCCAGUGCCACAUUAUAGCACCACCUGGAGCCCUCACCUUCCCCCCUCCCCCAACCUGGCCCCUAGAGUACACCCAAAACAGAAAAAAAAAGGAAACCCAGAUCCCUGCUCCUCCUCUGGAAGAGGGGGCCUUGGCCAGGAAGCCCCUUCCAUAGGUCCCAGCAGGCAGGAGAGUGGACCC